rnacentral:rRNA from 1 species
CAAUAGCGUAUAUUAAAGUUGUUGCGGUUAAAAAGCUCGUAGUUGGAUUUCUGCCGAGGACGACCGGUCCGCCCUCUGGGUGAGUAUCUGGCUCGGCCUGGGCAUCUUCUUGGAGAACGUAUCUGCACUUGACUGUGUGGUGCGGUAUCCAGGACUUUUACUUUGAGGAAAUUACAGUGCUUCAAGCAGGCUCACGCUCUCUGAAUACGUUAGCAUGGAAUAAUAGCAUCGGACCUCGAUCCAAAGCUGUUGGUUUCUUGGAUCUGGGUAAAGGUGAAUAGGGAUUGUUGGGGGCAUUCGUAUUUAACUGUCAGAGGUGAAAUUCUUGGAUUUGUUGAAGACGGACUACUGCGAAAGCAUCUGCCAAAGAUGUUCUCAUUGAUCAAGAACGAAAGUUAGGGAUCGAAGACGAUCAGAUACCGU